rnacentral:rRNA from 1 species
AGUGAACGCUGGCGGUAGGCCUAACACAUGCAAGUCGAACGGCAGCACAGUAAGAGCUUGCUCUUACGGGUGGCGAGUGGCGGACGGGUGAGGAAUACAUCGGAAUCUACUUUUUCGUGGGGGAUAACGUAGGGAAACUUACGCUAAUACCGCAUACGACCUACGGGUGAAAGCAGGGGAUCUUCGGACCUUGCGCGAUUGAAUGAGCCGAUGUCGGAUUAGCUAGUUGGCGGGGUAAAGGCCCACCAAGGCGACGAUCCGUAGCUGGUCUGAGAGGAUGAUCAGCCACACUGGAACUGAGACACGGUCCAGACUCCUACGGGAGGCAGCAGUGGGGAAUAUUGGACAAUGGGCGCAAGCCUGAUCCAGCCAUACAGCGUGGGUGAAGAAGGCCUUCGGGUUGUAAAGCCCUUUUGUUGGGAAAGAAAAGCAGCAGGUUAAUACCCCGCUGUUCUGACGGUACCCAAAGAAUAAGCAUCGGCUAACUUCGUG